rnacentral:rRNA from 1 species
AACGAACGCUGGCGGCAGGCUUAACACAUGCGAGUCGAGCGCCCCGCAAGGGGAGCGGCAGACGGGUGAGUAACGCGUGGGAAUCUACCCAUCUCUACGGAAUAACGCAUGGAAACGUGUGCUAAUACCGUAUACGUCCUUCGGGAGAAAGAUUUAUCGGAGAUGGAUGAGCCCGCGUUGGAUUAGCUAGUUGGUGGGGUAAAGGCCUACCAAGGCGACGAUCCAUAGCUGGUCUGAGAGGAUGAUCAGCCACACUGGGACUGAGACACGGCCCAGACUCCUACGGGAGGCAGCAGUGGGGAAUAUUGGACAAUGGGCGCAAGCCUGAUCCAGCCAUGCCGCGUGAGUGAUGAAGGCCCUAGGGUUGUCAAGCUCUUUCACCGGUGAAGAUAAUGACGGUAACCGGAGAAGAAGCCCCGGCUAACUUCGUGCCAGCCGCCGCGUAACAC